rnacentral:lncRNA from 1 species
AGUAAGGUCCCAGUUAAACAGAUUGAACAGCAUUUGGCGGAAACCAGUCAAUCUACAAUAAAUAUCUGUGUGGCGGAUCUGAAUAAUAACUGUAUUACGGAAAUAUCCUGAUUGGCAAAAUUGUAAAAUUAAAAGCCGUUCUUGUUGGUAAGUAUUCUUUCAACUGCAUUACAAAAUAUAAUCAUUGGAAAAUUAUCGUUAUUAUUAAGUUAUUGUUGUCAUUUGUUAAGUGUUUUUAACAUUAUUGUAAGCGAUCAGAGACAUCAUUUAAGAAUUGAAUGCUUCUUUUUGUAACUUCAUUGGGGUGUAAAAGCGUUGACCGAAGUACAUUUUGUAUGAAGCGCUUCCGCGCUCAUUCUAAAAAUGUGCGCACGGUCAACGCUUUUACAACCCUAUGAAGUUACAAAAAGAAGCAUUUAAUACUUAAUUACAUUUGUUAGCUAGGAUCAUGAAAACACGAAUUUUAUCAACUUUUUAUUUAAUUCACCUGUGCACUUUAUUGUGGGACCUCGUGUUAUCAUGAAUGAAAAGUUUUAUGAGUAAUGCAAUUGCUUAAGGAAUAACACUGUAGUGCAGUGACCAAUCAGAAUAACGAAUUAUAGUGAAACAUAUCUAAUGUUAUUAUAUAACAAUGACAGCUGCAAUAAAUCUGAGUGAUUUUGUGGAAAACUUAACCAUUUGAUACGUUAGUUUACAUGUAAUUACUAUACGUAAAAAAUGUAAUGUAAAGAAUUGAGAAUGAAAAUGGGGAAUAUGUUAAGAGACAACAACCCGACCAAAGAACAGAUAACAGCCGAAUGCCACCAAUGGGUCUUCAACAAGCAGAUAUUUCCGCAGCGGAGGCGUGCUUCAGCUGACCCCUAAACAAAAAUGUAUACUUAUUCAGUGAUAAUGCAUUGUGUCUAUCACAAUAAUCUUAUAACAAUGACAUAUUAACAGGUAACUCUUCAGAUGAGCAGGGUUCAGCAUUGUCAUGUAGUGCUACAGAACAUC